UGGCGGACGGGUGAGUAACGCGUAAAGAACUUGCCCUUUAGACUGGGAUAACAGAGGGAAACUUCUGAUAAUACUGGAUAAGUUAGUAUAUCGCAUGAUAUGCAGAUGAAAGCUACGGCACUAAAGGAGAGCUUUGCGUCCUAUUAGCUAGUUGGUAAGGUAAGAGCUUACCAAGGCGAUGAUAGGUAGCCGGCCUGAGAGGGUGGACGGCCACAAGGGGACUGAGAUACGGCCCUUACUCCUACGGGAGGCAGCAGGG
rnacentral:rRNA from 1 species